rnacentral:lncRNA from 1 species
UAGGCCUCAGGGGAUUACAUAAUAAUUUGCUUUACACUUAUCUAAAAUUGUGAAGAUUUAUAUUAACUAUUUAUCAAGUAAAUUAUUUCUUAAGCUAGUGAUAAAUAUCUUAACUAAUACUAAAUUAUAACAAUUAUUUGAAUUCCAUAUUUUAACAUUCUGACAUCUAAAAUAUACUGGUUAUACCCUUCCCUUCGUCGCCAAGAUUGCUC